rnacentral:lncRNA from 1 species
UUUGUCGAUACACAUCCAUCUUUAUUUGAGCUUGUUGUUGAAUCUCUGGAAGCAAGUCCAAGUCAGCCCUUUGGUAGUCAGAAUUAUUUGGCUCUGCAUACCGUUCGACCCUCAUCGAUGGUAGUCCAAUCUUCAAUAGGAUCACUCUUCUAUUCCAUAUGCAAGGUUGAAUGGUGACUCUCCUAUUGAGAUACGAAAAGUCAUUCGAUAAGCCUA